rnacentral:rRNA from 1 species
UACGUAGGGUGCAAGCGUUAAUCGGAAUUACUGGGCGUAAAGCGUGCGCAGGCGGUUUUGUAAGUCUGAUGUGAAAUCCCCGGGCUCAACCUGGGAAUUGCAUUGGAGACUGCAAGGCUUGAAUCUGGCAGAGGGGGGUAGAAUUCCACGUGUAGCAGUGAAAUGCGUAGAGAUGUGGAGGAACACCGAUGGCGAAGGCAGCCCCCUGGGUCAAGAUUGACGCUCAUGCACGAAAGCGUGGGGAGCGAACAGG